UUCCACUGGGGGUGUGGCAUGGGGGGAGGGGCUGAGGGCAGCUUCUUGGCACCCGGGCUGCCCUGCCUCAUGGGUGCCCUUCUCAGGGCCUCUGGCCCCGCCUCCCAAGCCGCCCUCCUUCCUUGCUUCUGUCUCCUGACCUUUCAGUCCAAAGGGGCCCCAGGGGCUGCUGGGAGGAAGGUCAGGCCCUUGUCCUACUCCACACCCUCUGCUCUGCCCCUAACCACCCGGUGGGGGGUUACAAAGGCCCCACCCUGGGUGUUCUUUCUCUUCAAUCUCCAAGGAGGAUGAUUGAUCGCAGAGUUGAACAACAGAGAAUGUGUGCACAGUGCCAGGCACAGGUGUGGUCAAGAUUCACCUGGGAGAGGAAGUGGGCAGGGGCAGAGGAGUGUGCCCACCUGAGCUGAAAGGCUGCAUGGCAGGUGACCAUUAUCACCAGUGUCGCCAGCCAGGUCACCUCUCUGAAUUUUGUGGUUGCAACCUCCAUGAUUCCCUAGAGCUGUUUUUACCCAGAACUAAUGAAAAAUUCUGCA
rnacentral:lncRNA from 1 species